UGCAGUUUUGUUUAAUAAAAUGGAUUGAUUAUAAGGUAAAUGUUUUUUUGUUUUUUUUAUCAUAUUAACAUCCAAAAAAGAUCAUGACUUAUCAUUUUAUUUUAUUUUUACACAUAUUAGGCUCUUUGUCUUUGUUUAAAGUUUGACUAAGAGAUAAGCUUUAUGCAUGUACUGUCAAGUAUGUUUCACUUUAUUCCAAAAUAAUUGACAAAUAUACUCAGUCAAGCAAUGUACUAAGUUUAAAAAUUAUCAUUCAAUUUGUACAAUGAAGUUGAAGAUGUAUAAAGAAAUGUUAUACACAUUUUUUCCAGACAACCCCCCCCCCAUAAGGAUGACAAUGUACUUGGACAAGAUUCUAAGACCUUUUUGAAAGAAAUAUGAAUAGGGGACUUCUGUAGCAGAAGAAGUAUAGCCAAACUUGCAGAAAACGACAACCGAAUGACUGCAUCACUAAAGAAAAGAAACAGGAUUUCUCCAAAAAUAGAAAUGCAGACAGCUCUUCGCCAUCAACUGUGAUCCUUUGUAAUUUUGUGUACAUAUGAAACUAAAUGACUGCAUAGAAAUGUU